ACGGCACAGAGUGGAUGCCUCGACUUGUGUAUCCGAUGAAGGACGUGGGAGACUGCGAUAUGCCUCGGUAAGCCGUCAACAGGCGUUAUAACCGGGGAUUUCCGAAUGGGGGAACCCUAAAGAGCGAACCUCUUUAAUCCGUAAUGGAAGGACACUUGCUGAAUUGAAAUAUCUUAGUAAGCAAGGAAAAGAAAUCAAUUGAGAUUCCCUAAGUAGUGACGAGCGAAACGGGAUCAGCCCAAACCUAUGUAAACUUAUGGGUGCAGACCUUGAACAUGGGGGUUGUAAGAGCUAUUUACUGUCUUCUGCAAAGACGGACAAAGCGAUAUUUAGAAUAGGAGAAGGACUUGGGAAGGUCCGCCAAAGAGGGUGAAAGCCCCGUAACCGAAAUUCUUUAUAUCUAUUUGCAAUAGUUUCUUGAGUAGCAUCAGACACGAGAAAUCUGGUGUGAAGCUGGGGAGACCACUCUCCAAGGCUAAAGAGUACACAAGAUCGAUAGUGAACAAGUACUGUAAAGGAAAGGUGAAAAGAACCCCGGGAGGGGAGUGAAAUAGAUCCUGAAACCCUGUGCCAAUGAAGAGUAGGAGCCUGUAUUUAUACGGGUGACUGCGUACUUUUUGUAGAACGGACCAACGAGUUAGCUGUAUGUGGCAAGGUUAAGGGAGAGUAUACCCGGAGCCGUAGGGAAACCGAGUCUGAAUAGGGCGAUUCAGUCACAUGCACUAGACCCGAAACCCAUGCGAGCUACUCAUGUGCAGGCUGAAGGUGUGGUAACACACACUGGAGGGCCGAACCAUUUAGAGCUGCAAGUCUAUUGGAUGACAUGUGAGUAGGAGUGAAAAGCUAAUCGAGCUGGGAGAUAGCUGGUUCUCCGCGAAAUAUAUUUAGGUAUAGCCUCAUAAAGCAACAGUCUGAGGUAGGGCUCUGAUAAGGUGAGCGGGUCGCGAGACUUAGCAAUCCUUGAUAAACUUCGAAUGCAGACUGCCAAGUAUUAUGAGAGUCAGACAGUGACGGAGAAGCGCCAUUGUCAAAAGGGAAACAGCCCAGAUUCCUGUCUAAGGUCCCCAAAUAUACACUCAGUGGAAAAGGAGGUGAGGUUACUGAGACAACCAGGAUGUUGGCUUAGAAGCAGCCACUCAUUCAAAGAGUGCGUAAUAGCUCACUGGUCGAGUGAUCUUGCGCCGAAAAUUCAACGGGGCUUAAGUGUAUUACCGAAGACGGAAACUUCAAUUUUAUUGGAGUGGUAGCGGAGCGUCCUCUAUGCUGAUGAAGGUGAGUCGUAAGGCUUGCUGGAGGUACGAGGAGUGAAAAUGUUGGUAUGAGUAACGCGAACAGAAUGAAAACUUCUGUCACCGAAUGCCCAAGGUUUCCGAUCCAACGUCAGUCGUGGUCGGGUUAGUCGGUCCUAAGGUGUACCCGAAAGGGGAAACCGAUGGAUAGCAGGUUAAUAUUCCUGCACUUCAAAUGUUCGUUAUUACGACGUGGGGACAUAUCGGGUCAUUGGAGAGGGUUAUAGAUCAUCCUCGAAUUAUACAACAGCGGACACUUAGGAAAAUCCGGGUGUCAUUUACGAAAGAGUAUAGUUUCUCUCAAAGUGAAAGCGUAAGCUCGAGCAAUGAGAAGUCCUACAAUGAUUUGGUAUCGAGAAAAGCCACUAAGGAGAAUUAUUUGAAACCGUACCGCAAUCGAACACUCGUGGGCUGGUGUGAGUACACCAAGGUGGACGGGAUAACUAUGCUUAAGGAACUCUGCAAAACAGCGGUCGUAACUUCGGGAUAAGACCUGCCUGGAGAGUAAUUUACUCUUCAGGCCGCAGCUAACGAGCCCAGGCGACUGUUUACCAAAAACACAGCUCUCUGCAAACACGUAAGUGGAAGUAUAGGGGGUGAUGCCUGCCCAGUGCCAGAAGAUUACGGGGAGGGGUGCAAGCUCUGAACUUAAGUCCUGGUGAACGGCGGCCGUAACUAUAACGGUCCUAAGGUAGCGAAAUUCCUUGUCGGGUAAGUUCCGACCCGCACGAAUGGCAUAACGGUCUGGGCACUGUCUCAAGCAUAGUCCCGGUGAAAUUGCAAUAUCGGUAAAAAUGCCGAUUACUCGCAGCAAGACGGAAAGACCCUAUGAAGCUUUACUCUAACUUGGCACUGAUGUAUUCAGUUUGAUGCGCAGGAUAGGUGGGAGACUAUGAAAGAGACCCUCUGGGGUUUCCCGAGUCAUCCUUGAGAUACCACCCUUCACUCUGUGUACAUCUAACCCCAUAUUGGGGGACAGUGCUUGGCGGGGAGUUUAACUGGGGCGGUUGCCUCCUAAAAGAUAACGGAGGCGCACAAAGGUAUGCUAGUCCCGGAUGGAAAUCGGGAUGGUCGUGUAUUCGCAUAAGCAUGCUUAACUGAGAGACCAACAAGUCGAUCAGAUACGAAAGUAGGUGAAAGUGAUCCGGCACCAACAUGUGGGAGUGGUGUCGCUCAACGGAUAAAAGUUACUCUAGGGAUAACAGGCUGAUUCCGUCCAAGAGUUCACAUCGACGACGGAGUUUGGCACCUCGAUGUCGGCUCGUCGCAUCCUGGGGGUGGAGAAGCUCCCAAGGGUAUGGCUGUUCGCCAUUUAAAGCGGUACGCGAGCUGGGUUCAGAACGUCGUGAGACAGUUUGGCCCCUAUCUGCUGUGAGCGUUUAGGAAUUUGAUGGGAUUUGCUCCUAGUACGAGAGGACCGGAGUGAACGAACCUCUGGUGGAUCAGCUGUCGCUCUAGCGGCACUGCUGAGUAGCUACGUUCGGAAUGGAUAACCACUGAAAGCAUCUAAGUGGGAAGCCAAUCCAAAGAUGAGAUUCCUCCAAGAAUUUAUUCUUGAUAAGUGCCCUUGGAGACUACAAGGUUGAUAGGUUGCAGGUGUACGAACAGCGAUGUUCUCAGCCGAGCAAUACUAAUAGCACGAAUGAUAUUUAU
rnacentral:rRNA from 2 species